GAUGUAUCAUUCGGUCUCGAAUAUGUUUAAGAAUUAUAUGAUAAAUCUUCUCUUUAUUAUUCACUAAUAUAGUUCUAAGGACUUCAUCACAACACAAGAGUUCUAUAAGAAAGAUGUAACUUUAUGAUGAAAAAUAUCAGAAUAAGUUUUAUUCAAUAAUUAAUAAUUUAUAUAUAAAGAGAAACUCAAUCACCACAUGAUUGAUUUUAGGACAUAAUUUUCAACACA
rnacentral:lncRNA from 1 species